UACGAAGGGGGCUAGCGUUGCUCGGAAUUACUGGGCGUAAAGCGCACGUAGGCGGCUUCUUAAGUCGGUGGUGAAAUCCUGGAGCUCAACUCCAGAACUGCCUUCGAUACUGGGAAGCUCGAGUCCGGGAGAGGGAUGCGGAAUUCCAGGUGUAGCGGUGAAAUGCGUAGAUAUCUGGAGGAACACCGGUGGCGAAGGCGGCAUCCUGGACCGGCAUUGACGCUGAGGCGCGAAAGCUAGGGGAGCAAACGGG
rnacentral:rRNA from 1 species